rnacentral:misc_RNA from 1 species
AUCUUCACCUACUUGAUCUGCCACUCUGCCGAUGCCAUCUUGAAGACCUGUUUUCUUCCUUCGUUUUUGACAACUAAUUACGCCAAUUCUUUACUUAUCGCAUUGCAAACUUCCUCAUCUUUUUGGCCAAUAGGUACCCUUUCUUGGGGUUUCCCGUGGUGGCCGACGUAAAUAUUAUCCAUGAGGACUUGCUUCAUGCAAAUCCCAUUGAUUUGACGAUGAUAAUGGACGAAGUGAGCCAAGAAGUGAUUCCC